GGGACUUGUUUCCGGUUGUGUUUUUGAGUUGAAUCUAUGGUAUAUUGAGGGUGUUAAUGAUUCUAAGUGAUUUGGGGAAGAAACCAUUCGAUUUUAGGUGAAAUAAGGUGAGAAAACGAGAAAAUGAGCAUGCUGAAAUUUCUGGGUUGGGGGCCUGGCGCGACGCGCCUGCCAGAGCGCCCCAAACUCACCUCUGAAGUUUAGGGGCUGGCGCCCCGCGCCACCCAUGGCGCCAAGGUCACUUGCN
rnacentral:lncRNA from 1 species